UGUCCAGGGAUGGGAAUCGAACCCACAAUGUUCCGCUUACCGGGCAGAUGCCAUGUCCACUAGGCUACCAUGGUAGAU